CCUANGGGUGGCUGCAGUGAGGAAUAUUGCGCAAUGGGCGAAAGCCUGACGCAGCGACGCCGCGUGGGGGAUGAAGGCCUUCGGGUUGUAAACCCCUUUCAGGAGGGAAGAUGGAGCGGGUAACCGCUCGGACGGUACCUCCAGAAGCAGCCACGGCUAACUCUGUGCCAGCAGCCGCGGUAAGACAGAGGUGGCAAGCGUUGUUCGGAUUUACUGGGCGUAAAGGGUGCGUAGGUGGUUAGGUAAGACCUGCGGGAAAGACCUGGGCUUAACCCAGGAAGGUCACAGGUGACUGCCUAGCUUGAGGACGGGAGAGGAGAGCGGAAUUCCCGGUGUAGCGGUGAAAUGCGUAGAGAUCGGGAGGAAGGCCGGUGGCGAAGGCGGCUCUCUGGAACGUUCCUGACACUGAGGCACGAAAGCGUGGGGAGCAAACAGGAUUAGAUACCCUUNUANUC
rnacentral:rRNA from 1 species